GUCCCAAACCGCAUACAACACUAACAAGGCAAAAGUGUCAAAUUUGAGCGUGACCAAUAAUCGCCAUGGCUACGACUUACAGCGCGUGAGCUAUUCUGGCUCACUUUGAGGUGCUAUAAUGUGUGAUUUGGAACACGAUUUCUAUCAACGAGCCUUUAAAUUACACUUAAGCUAACGCCAGUUAGCUAAUUAGCUCCAGCUAGCUUAUGCUAAUCCUCCCCGUCUGAUAGCGUGUUGGGCUUUAACUCACCAUCAGCUCCAGAGUUUUGUCCUCCAUCUCCGGCUCCAUGUUGUUGUGCCGUUCGACUCUCUGCGAAAAUGGAAACCAGUCAGCAAACAGCAAGCAGGUGUGAAGCCAGAAACAACACAACAACCACCUACACGCCUCUAUAUCAAAAUAAACAGGAUCUGCUACCAUACGGUCGAGCAUGGUGUAGGGGUGCGUGCGUACCGUUUUCUGCUCCGUUGCCCUCAGCCCCAUGUACUCGUAGGAUGUAUCUCAUGGUGUCCAGGUUCUCGUAAACAAUUAGGAUCUCCACAGCUCCCAUCUCCAGGGCCU